rnacentral:rRNA from 1 species
UACAGAGGGUGCAAGCGUUGUUCGGAAUUAUUGGGCGUAAAGCGCGUGUAGGCGGCUUUGCAAGUUGGGUGCGAAAUCCCUCGGCUCAACCGAGGAAGGGCGCCCAAAACUGCAUGGCUUGAGUCUCGGAGAGGAUGGCGGAAUUCCCCAAGUAGAGGUGAAAUUCGUAGAUAUGGGGAGGAACACCGGUGGCGAAGGCGGCCAUCUGGACGAAGACUGACGCUGAGACGGCGAAAGCGUGGGGAGCAAACAGGG